rnacentral:lncRNA from 1 species
GUUUUUAUGUAGAUUUAAAACAAAUUUAUUCUGUAUGAUAUAGUUAUAUAAUUGUUUGUUACCUCAAAAUUAAAUUGUGCGUGUUUGCAAAUGCGCUGGACAUUUUUUUCCUUAGAUUUGGUCAGGAAUCUCGAAAAUUGUCGAGCCUGUCUACGAAUGUCAGAUCUGUUAUGAGAUUUAACAUCACUUUUUCAGUUUUCUUUUUUAUUCAUUGUAAGUGCAAGAUUUAACAUAUCAUACAAUAUCUGUCUUUUGAUGAGGGAAAUAUGUG